AGCGAACGCUGGCGGCAGGCCUAACACAUGCCGGUCGAACGAACUCUUCGGAGUUAGUGGCGGACGGGUGAGUAACACGUGGGAACGUGCCUUUUGGUUCGGAAUAACUCAGGGAAACUUGUGCUAAUACCGAAUGUGCCCUUCGGGGGAAAGAUUUAUCGCCAUUAGAGCGGCCCGCGUCUGAUUAGCUAGUUGGUGAGGUAACGGCUCACCAAGGCGACGAUCAGUAGCUGGUCUGAGAGGAUGACCAGCCACACUGGGACUGAGACACGGCCCAGACUCCUACGGGAGGCAGCAGUGGGGAAUCUUGCGCAAUGGGCGAAAGCCUGACGCAGCCAUGCCGCGUGAAUGAUGAAGGUCUUAGGAUUGUAAAAUUCUUUCACCGGGGACGAUAAUGACGGUACCCGGAGAAGAAGCCCCGGCUAACUUCGUG
rnacentral:rRNA from 1 species